CAUUAAAACAUAUAAGCUACCAUCUUCUUUGAGAACCCUGGCCCCCUUCUUUCUCAUUCUUCGAUUUGUUCAUACAAGCUCCAAUGCGAUCAUUCUGGUUGAGUAAAUACUCAUACAAGCUCUUAUGGUCAAUUAGAAGGUCAUACAAGCUCCGAUUUGUUUCCUUUAGAGUUUCGAUUGUUCGAUUUGCUAGUACAAACUCAUAAAACCUCCGGUUUUCUCAGGUGGGUCAAUUUUUUCGAUGGGGUCAUGUGGGUGUAAGAGGGUCAAGUGGGUUUCGACCGGACUUUAAAGCUUAAAGUUCAAGUGAUUGGAGUUUGGAGUUUUUGUUUGUGAUUGGAGUUUGGAUGUUUGGGUUUUGCUUAGUAGCGAGGUAACCAAAGCGAGGCUAUGAAGGAGGAGCUGUCUUCUUUAGAAUUGCUGCCAGAAGAAGAGCUUGAUGCACACAAUGCUGCCAAGAUGGUGUUUUAUUUAUACAUAUCUUUUUAUAUUUAAUUUUCUAAUCUUGUUUGUAUAUGUUCAUUAUUGAUUGUUUACUCACUUUUACUCUCCGUUUACUUAGCCUAUGUGUGAUAAAAGCUAACCAUUACGUACAAACAACUUUGAAACUUACUUUAAUACUGCCAGUAGAACUUAAAGUAGUUACUUUUAAAUAUAAUGCAGGUUACUAGACUUGUAAAAGAAGAUCACCGGUGAUUGCACUGAAGGUAGCAUUCUCACUGCUUCAUAUGGGUACAUACGGGGGCAUGAAGUAGCUCGUACAUUCAUGAGGCUACUAAAAUUAGUGUAGGAGUUGAUGUUUGCAUGGUUAAUGAAAGAGGUUUCUAUUUCAACCUUGCAGAAGUUCAGAAACCUCUUUAUGCUAAUUGGACUAAUUUAAGUAUGAAUGGGUCAUGUGCACAAGUCUAUUAAACUACACUUAUGCAGAUGAAAAUAUAGAAUGCAGCUUUUAGUCACUUUAGAACGAGGAGGAUGGGAAUGCAGCUGCUCAACAUAGUGAUGAAUGAAGAUUUUUAGUCACUUUUUAUUUUUACUUCUUCAUCCAUUCUUGCUUUUAGAUUGACUUUUGUAAGGAUGGUUUAUAAAUUGGUACAUUAGUCUGGUUUCUAUGUAUCUUUCAACCUGAUGACUCGGUUUGUACUUUGUAUUUUCUUUUGGUUAAUUUCAAGUCAAGAAAAUUUCAGAGUA